AGUAAAAUAGUACGUGAAAUUGUUGAAAGGGAAACGAUUGAAGUCAGUCGUACCGACGAGAAAUCAGCUCUUCGAGUGCGAAGUUGUGGGCGUGCGUGAGUCUUUAACGGGCCUCGCUGUUUGCAAUUUUGUGCUUUUUGGGUGUACUUUUUCGUAUGGUAGGCCAACGUCAGUUUCGAUCACCGUAAAAUGAUCGGAGGAAUGUAGCUUCGAUCUCGUAUUGAAGUGUUAUAGCCUCUGGUAGAUGCGGUGACCGAAACUGAGGAUUGCAACGAAUACCCUUUUGGGCUAUCCGUCUGGCCUCUGAAAGUUGCUUAGGUGCCGAAAGCGUGCUUACGGCUAUUUAAGUUGACGGUCAACAGGUUAGAACGUGAUUACAUUCGUUAAGGACGUUGGCGUAAUGGCUUUAAA
rnacentral:misc_RNA from 1 species